CUUGAGGAGUAAGGAGUGUGUCUCUAGCAGGUGGAGAGCUCUCUGGCACCAUGGACAGAGCAGUGCUGGCAGGGACCGGGGGACUCUCAGCUGGCUGCUAGGACUGAGGUGCUGUGGCCCUGAGCUGUCAGGCUACUCAGAAUCAUUCCCACCAAUUGCCUCCAGCUGACCACUGUUGUGCACAGUGAAGAGCACACGGAAAAGGCCAUGGAUCACAACCACCUCUAGAAGGAGCUAUUGUACUAAUUUAGCAUAGUCCUGCUUUGUGCUACCAAUGACACAUCCCUGCACUGGUCUUCCACUUUGGGAGACCUGAGAAAGAAGCUGCAGCUGGGCUCGUGAGGCGAGCUUAGUCGGUGCCCUCAUUUCUGGAUGGGGAUUAAAAACCAAGGCGUGAUUCCUGCUGCCUUUGUCUUGCCAGUCCAUGUCCUCUCUCACUCUCUUCCAGUUUAAGCACAAUACAGCUGCUGCAGCUCUCCACAGCCAAUCGUGGAGAUGGAUCUAUGCCCUUUACAUGCAAGAUCAGGCUGGAAAAUGCCUCCAAGGACUGCAAGGAACCUACAGGCUCUAAUAGCUGAAUUGCUAUGUAGCAAGGUACUUAGGCCCACAUCUUCACAGAUACUUCAGUGCCCAAUUCCCAUUGUUUUUAAUGUGAGUUAAGUACCUAAAAAUACCUUUGAAGAUCUAGGCCUUAGAAUAUCAUCCAUCCCUAGGCCUAGAAGCUGCUGUGUCCUUUGCUUAGGAGAUCAAUGGAGUUUUUUUUGUG